ensembl:ncRNA F56D1.13 ncRNA
UCUAGAAAUCAAGAAAAAAUAUCUAGAAAUGAACAUUCCAUGGGUUGUGAAGAUGCUUUUAUCUCACUUUAGAAUGUCUGACUCCGCCCCUCUGUGUACGAAUUGAAGUGCUCUUUUGUGAUGAUCAUAGCUCCUCCUUGC